AAUGGAGAAUGGUCAUCAUGGUCAGCCUUUGAUCAGUGUAGCUACUUGUGGACCUGGUAUUCAGAUGAGAAAGCGCACCUGCUCCAAUCCAGCUCCAGAUCAUGGCGGUUUUAAUUGGUCUGGAAUUUCAACCGAAAGCAGCCAAUGCAAUUUAAGAGAAUGUCCAGUAAAUGGAACCUGGAGUGUGUGGGGAAGCUACAGUACUUGUGACAAAUCAUGUGGAGGAGGUUGGAAAGUGCGAUUCAGAGACUGCUCUAAUCCUGCCCCUGCAAAUGGCGGUCUUCCGUGCUAUGGAAAUUCAGUUCAACCAACUGGUUGUAAUAUGAUUCACUGUCCAGUUGAUGGAGGCUGGUCAUCAUGGUCAAAUUUCAGUCAGUGUAGUAGAAGUUGUGAACAAGGUGUCCAAUCUAAAUCUCGAACGUGUUAAAGUCCGUCUCCAGCCUAUGGAGGUCAACAUUGUUCAGGAAAUUCAAAGGAGAGCAGAAUAUGUAAUCUCAGGGAAUAUCCAGUUGAUGGGAAUUGGGGUCAGUGGGGUGACUUUCGUCCGUGUGACAUGACGUGUGGUGGCGGAUUUCAUAUGAGAAUGAGAGAAUGUAACAACCCUCCGCCCUCACACGGGGGAAUGGUUUGUCCUGGUCAGUGCUUACAAGCUGAGACAUGCAACACUCAACCAUGCCCAGAUGAGACGAAAACCACAAGAUCAUCAAGUGAUUUAUUGAUUGGA